UUUUAGCCCCGAUUGCAGCGGCAUCCUGCGACCCGAUUAGGGGCGCAGAUAUAGCGGAAAGCGGGUGUAAUA
rnacentral:sRNA from 1 species